UACAAACACACCCUACAUGUACAACUGAGUAUUCACUGGAAGUACUGUAAUAUACCCAUACAAACACACCCUACAAGUACAACUGAGUGUUCUCUGGAAGUACUGUAAUAUACCUACACAAACACACCCUACAUGUACAACUGAGUAUUCACUGGAAGUACUGUAAUAUACCCAUACAAACACACCCUACAUGUACAACUGAGUAUUCUCUGGAAGUACUGUAAUAUACCCAGACAAACACACCCUACAUGUACAACUGAGUAUUCUCUGGAAGUACUGUAAUAUACCCAGACAAACACACCCUACAUGUACAACUGAGUAUUCACUGGAAGUACUGUAAUAUACCCAGACAAACACACCCUACAUGUACAACUGAGUAUUCACUGGAAGUACUGUAAUAUACCCAGACAAACACACCCUACAUGUACAACUGAGUAUUCUCUGGAAGUACUGUAAUAUACCCAGACAAACACACCCUACAUGUACAACUGAGUAUUCACUGGAAGUACUGUAAUAUACCCAGACACAAACACACCCUACAUGUACAACUGAGUAUUCACUGGAAGUACUGUAAUAUACCCAGACAAACACACCCUACAUGUACAACUGAGUAUUCACUGGAAGUACUGUAAUAUACCCAUACAAACACACCCUACAUGUACAACUGAGUAUUCACUGGAAGUACUGUAAUAUACCCAGACAAACACACCCUACAUGUACAACUGAGUAUUCACUGGAAGUACUGUAAUAUACCCAGACAAACACACCCUACAUGUACAACUGAGUAUUCACUGGAAGUACUGUAAUAUACCCAGACAAACACACCCUACAUGUACAACUGAGUAUUCACUGGAAGUACUGUAAUAUACCCAGACAAACACACACUACAUGUACAACUGAGUAUUCACUGGAAGUACUGUAAUAUACCCAGACAAACACACCCUACAUGUACAACUGAGUAUUCACUGGAAGUACUGUAAUAUACCCAGACAAACACACCCUACAUGUACAACUGAGUAUUCACUGGAAGUACUGUAAUAUACCCAGACAAACACACCCUACAUGUACAACUGAGUAUUC
rnacentral:lncRNA from 13 species